ensembl:lncRNA
AUGGGACAGCGUCGUGCACAACCUGAAAUCCGGCGGUGGGUUGAGGCUGUUGCGAACGAGAAGGUGGAAAAGUGUUGCGGGCAAAGUGAAAGCUGGCGUCCGCGCUGGGACAAUAGGAGAUGGGGCCGAGGGGGCGGUGUUGCGCUGUGGGUGCCGCGGUGGUUAAGACUUCGCUGUGGGGUGAUGGGAGGGCGUUGUGCUCAAAGUGAAACUCUGACAGCGCUGAGACUAUUGGCUGUGGGCGACGGCAGGGCGUUUCUCACACAAGGCCGUUUCUCACUGGACUUGGCUUUGAGACGUUGGGAGAGCGCUGCGAACAAAGUGGAAGAUGGCGGCAGCGGAAAAGCUACUGGCGGUGGGACGGUGGACAGCGUCGAGGGCAGAGUUAAACUGGCGGGAGGAGGAGACCAUGGGCGAUCGGACGGUGGACGGUGUGGUCCGCACAGGGGACCCUGACAGCGGCGACGAGACCAUUCACUGUGGCAAGAUGGAAAGGCGUUGUNNNNNNNNNNGCUGAAGCUGAGUCUUCAGCCCUUUGCAGAGUGAAUGUCCUUCCUCCCUGAGUGUGGGCUACUUAGACAGGAUGGCCCUUCAUUCUUUCUAUUUGAGAGGAAUCCCAACUUCCAGUCUCCCUUUUAGUUCUCUUAUGUUGUUUAAAUGAUUAGUGACCUCUAAAACUCUUUUUCUUUUUAGCUCCUUCCUUUUAGAUUCUGUAUUUUUUAGGGGGAAAGAUAUACAGUCUGGGAGAAUUUCUAAUAUUUUUGUAGAUUUUCAGUGAAUUGCUAAAUGCUAAAAAAGAAAUGCCUAGUCAAUUUGAACUGAUUAUUAGAGGGUUCUUUCACUGGGAAAAGGUCUUUCUUGUUCUUUUUUCACAUUGUUAGAUUUUGUGAAGGAGUCUUUAUUUCUAAGAGUUUACAAUUUUAGAAAAAAAAUUACUUUUUGUAUAAUCUAAGUUUGUGUGAAUGUUUUUUAGGCCUUAACCAUAAGCAGGAAGACAUUGCAUUCUUUACCAACCUUAAUAUAUUGCUUGAUUUGGCAAUCUCAAACUAUCCAGAAUAUACCAAGGUAAAGACUAAGUCAUAUCUCUAGGCAGGCAAAUGUCUGUUACACAGGCCAUGCAUAAAAGUUUAUGAUUUCUCUUGUAGGAUGCCCUUGUGACCAUUACUGAGGGCCAAUGUAUAUUUAUUUUGUGCAUACUCCGAAUAAUCUAAAUAUCUGAUUCUGCAUACUAAGGUAAGGAUGCAGCAUCAGGAAAAUGCUUUCCUCUUCAGUUUGUACCUUUAGAACUGUUUGUACAUGAAAUUUUCCCCAUAAUGAAAGAAUAUCUGUGAGAUAGGAUUCUUAGGUAUUUUCAUAAUUUAGUUUCAAAGAAUUUAAACAAUGUUACUAAUUUUUUACCCUUUCUUUUCUCACAUUAAAAUUUUUUCUAUAAGGAAUAUAUUUUUUGGCAUCAUGAGAAAAUAAAAGGCACCUAGUUGUCUUCAAACGCAGGGCAUACAAUUGUAGAUACAAUGCAAGUAUGUAAAAGUAUAUAGGAAAAAAAAUAAAGGAAAUAUACUAGCAUUUCAGUAGGAAUUAUAUUUAAUUUGUGCAACUAAAUAGUGAUUAUUUGUUCUUUCUGUGAUUUUCCGAUAUGCUACCAGAGAAUGCAUUCAGCACUGCUCAGAAGAAAUAUCAUGGGAGCCAUACAGGCAAUUUAAAUUUUUCUAGUGUCCACAUGAAAAGAUUAAAAAGAAACAGGUGAAGUUAAUUUUAACAGUGUAUUUUAUUGAGCACAAAACAUCCAAAUGUUAUCAUUUCAACACAUACCAAUAUAAAAUUAAUAAUGACAUGGUUACAUUCCUCUUUUUCAUCAUUCCUUCAAAAUACGGUGCAUCCUUUGGCGGUCAUAGUACAGCUAAGAUUGGGCUAGUCAAGUGCUCACUUGGCCUCUUGUGGUUGAUGUCAUGGUGGGCAGCACAGCUCAAGAUGGAGGGAGCAGCUUCCACAGAGCCAGGAGAAUUCCUGAGUCUGAGGGGACCACGUAGAAGGAACUUCAAAUUGUGGACGAGUUAUGUUCCAAGAUCCAAGGGGAUCAAUGGUGGGAAAAUCAGCUCAAGAUGUAUUCGGGAUGCUUUUGAAUGCCAGAGUGUGGCUUUGUACUUAAUUUGAGAAGUCUUCAGGCAGACAGGGCGCUAGGUUGUGCCCUGGACAGAAGAAUGGGCCCAGAUAUUGUUGGGAACUGAAGCACGGAGAAGUCCUGCCCAGGUGCUCUCGUGGCUGUAGAGACUGGAAGUAAAGACCAGAGUGAGGAACUGGAAGAAGGGGGCGGGUGCGGAAUUGUAAACAAGAAUUCCUUCUGCUUUCUUCCCUUUGUCCUCCUCCCAGUUCCUGCUAUUGUCAUCAUGAGCUGUUUUCUAAUUGGUCUCUUUCAAAUGCCUUCAUGGAGUUUAUAUUGAUUUUUGUCAGUGUAAUUAAUUAUGCUAUGAAAAUCCUUGUUUGUAUCCUUUGGUGCACUUUUGUAUAGCCUUCUGUUGGGUAUAUGGCCUAGGAUGAAGUAACUGGGUAAUAGAAUGUGCAUAUGUUCAGAUGUAGUAGCUAAUGAUAAACAUAUUUUUGAUAGUUUACACCCAUUUAUAUUCUCACUAUGAAGAGUAUGGGAUGUCAGUUGCAUUACUUUCUUUUCAACACCAGGUAUGGCCAGUCUUCUUAGUUUUAGCCCUUCUAGUGAAUCGUAGUGAUAUCUUAUUUGAGUUUUAAUUCAUAUUGCCUAGUUAUUAAUAAGAUUCAGGGCAUCUUCAUGUUUAUUGACCAUUUGGAUGUUUCCUUUGUGAGGGGCCUGUCCAAAUCCCUUGCUGACUGUCUCAGAUAAUGUUUUUUUUUUUAAUCUAAAGAUGAUGUAAUUGUGUACAUACAAAAUACAAAAGGACGUAGAAACUAUUGAAAUUUUAAAAUAAAUUUAACAAUGUCACUGAAAAAAAGAUCAGUAUUAAAAUCAAUCACAUCUUUUUACAAUAGCAAUAAAAAUUGGAAAUUGCCAUUUCAAAAUGAUACCACUGAUAAGAAGAUAAAAUGUCUACUACUAAGAAAUUGUCAGAGCCUGGAGCUGCCUAAGGCAACAUGGAAAUUAAAGGUAAUGUGCCAUUCUAAAUGGCAUCCCUGGACAGAAGAACAAUUUUGGGUAAAAACUAAGGUGAUCUGGGAAUACCCUUGAGUUUCACUGACUGGGACUCCAUGCUUUCACUGCAGGGUCCUGCUUGGAUCCCUGGUUGGGGAACUAUUUAAUAAGAUGUCACAAGUCUCACAGCCAUAAAUAAAUAAAAAUGAAAUUCCUGCAACCAGUGGGGCUGGGUGGGUGGGUACAGGAAUAAGGACAUCUGAAUAAAGUGUAGAUUUAAGUUUUUUUUAAAAAAUAGCUUUGACAGGACAAUUUCUCUUUACCUCUGACCUCUAAGUACAAGUCUAUAAUUGUACUUUUGACUCAAAUUAGAUGGCCAGAAAAAAUAACAGUUUCUUUCUCUAACAUUGAGACAGGAUGUUUUAAAUCUUGAUCGUUAAUGAGGUUAAGUAACUUCUGUCUUUGUAAGUGAGCAAGGGACAUGUAAGCGUGUGAUGAGGUAGUAAGUCUCAGUGAGAAGGGAAAUCAGAGCGUGCAAUAGGAGACUGUCAAGGCCACCUCCUCCUGAGAAACACAGUCAUUUAGUGAACAAACAUUUACUUAGCAAACAUGUCCUCAACACAUCAUAAAGUAAAACAAAUAUUGCCAUUUUCUUGGACUAUUUUCAAACUAUCUCUCAAUAAAUUUUUGGUUCUGGCUUAUAUGUCUUGCACAUUCUCUCUGAGAUUCAUUGCAAUAUAUUUAUGCUUUCUUAUUGUUGCAAGUAUGAAUGAAAUCUUUUCAUGACAUUUGCUAAUUUUUAAUAAACUAAGUUUUCCUUGCAUUUUCAUACACACAUGCUUAUGAGAAUGACUAAUUUUGGUUUUUUUCUCCGAUCGCUUUGCAAACACUAUAUAAAAGUUUGGUUGAUUUUUCAAAUUUCUAGAUAAACAAAUACAUUGCCUGCAAAUUAAAAAAAUAAGGUCUGAUAAUAGCAAUGUGAUGACCGUAUGGAGCAACUCCUGUUUGUUGUGUAUAUUUGUACAACUACUUUCAAAGACAUUACCUAGCCAAGCUGAAAAUAUGCUUAACCUAUGGUCUAUGACCCAGUCAUAUAUGGAUGUAAGAGCUGGACCAUAAAGAAGGUUGAACACUGAAGAAUUGAUGCUUUUGAACUGUGGUGUUGAAGAAGACUCUGGAGAGUCCCUUGAACUGCAGGGAGAUCAAACCAGUCAAUCCUAAAGGAAAUCAACCCAGAACUUCAUUAGAAGGACUGAUGCUGAAACUGAAACUGCAGUCCUCUCAUGAGCUGACUCAUUAGAAAAGACCCUGAUGCUGGGAAGGACUGAAGGCAGAAGGAGAGUGGGACAACAGAGGACACGAUGGUUGGAUGACGUUCAAUGGACAUGAGUUUGAGCAAGCUCUGGGAGACGGUGAAGGACUGGGAAGUCCUGUUGCAGAUCACUGGGGUCACAAAGAAUCAGACAUGAGUGAGCGACUGAACAACAACGUGACCCGGUAAGUCCACUCAUAGCAGUUACCCUAGGAAAGAAUCAUGUAAAUAUGCAUCAGUAUAGAAGUAAAGAAAAUUCAGAUCAGCAAUAU